GACCGUGUUUACGUGCCCAAUGACCCGGAGAUCAGGAAGUUGAUACUGCAAGAGGCGCAUGAUUCACCAUAUUCGAUUCACCCAGGAAAUACCAAGAUGUAUCUGGAUUUGAAGGAUAUUUUCUGGUGGACUGGAAUGAAGAAGGAUAUAGCGGAGUAUGUAGCAGUUUGUGAUGUAUGCCAGAGAGUAAAGGCAGGGCAUCAAAAGCCAGCAGGAUUGUUACAACCAUUGCCGAUAACCGAAUGGAAGUGGGAUAAGCUAGGCAUGGAUUUUAUCACGGGAUUGCCCAGGACUCGUUUAGGCUAUGACUCGAUUUGGGUUGUAGUUGAUCGAUUGACGAAAGUAGCUCAUUUCAUCCCAGUAAAGACCACUUACACCAGUGCUAAGUUGGCAAAGAUAUACAUGACCAGGAUCGUAUGUCUGCAUGGAGUUCCAAGGAGUAUCGUAUCAGAUAGAGGAACCCAAUUUACCUCAAAGUUCUGGAAGCAGUUGCAUGAAACUUUGGGUACCAGGCUAGAAUUCAGCACAACUUUUCAUCCACAGACAGAUGGACAAACCGAGAGGGUAAAUCAGAUUUUGGAGGAUAUGCUGAGAGCUUGUGCGCUAGAUUAUGGAUCUAGUUGGGACGACAAUUUUCCAUAUGCAGAGUUCUCUUACAACAACAGUUACCAAACCAGUUUGAAG
rnacentral:rRNA from 1 species